rnacentral:misc_RNA from 1 species
GAGAAAAUGUUGCAUAUCCUAGAGAAGUAGAAUCUCUUUCAGGGUUGAGGACUAUUGCUGUUGCAUGUGGGGUGUGGCAUACUGCUGCUGUAGUGGAGGUUAUUGUUACACAAUCUAGUGCUAGUGUUUCAUCUGGGAAAUUGUUUACUUGGGGUGAUGGAGACAAAAAUCGACUUGGACAUGGAGACAAGGAACCUCGGCUUAAACCUACAUGUGUGCCAGCAUUAAUUGAUUACAAUUUUCACAA